CCUACGGGAGGCAGCAGUGAGGAAUAUUGGUCAAUGGGCGAGAGCCUGAACCAGCCAAGUCGCGUGAGGGAAGACGGUCCUAUGGAUUGUAAACCUCUUUUGCCGGGGAGCAAAAAGCGGUACGUGUACCGCAUCGAGAGUACCCGGAGAAAAAGCAUCGGCUAACUCCGUGCCAGCAGCCGCGGUAAUACGGAGGAUGCGAGCGUUAUCCGGAUUUAUUGGGUUUAAAGGGUGCGCAGGCGGCGAGUUAAGUCAGCGGUAAAAUUUCGGGGCUCAACCCCGACAAGCCGUGGAAACUGGCUGUCUUGAGAUGUCGAGAGGUAUGCGGAAUGCGCAGUGUAGCGGUGAAAUGCUUAGAUAUUGCGCAGAACUCCGAUUGCGAAGGCAGCAUACCGGCGGCGAUCUGACGCUGAGGCACGAAAGCGUGGGUAUCGAACAGGAUUAGAUACCCCAGUAGUC
rnacentral:rRNA from 1 species